rnacentral:lncRNA from 1 species
AACAAUACCAACUUUUCUUUCUCAUGAUGGUUUCCAGAAGUGAACAAAGGACAUCCAGAACACACUGUCUUCUUUGGAAACAUGAUUCCAGAGUUACUAGAAGAUGAAAAGAUUCAUUUUCACUUUGGGGUAUAAAGCCAGUAAGACCAUGUCAUCUCCCAUUCAAAACACAAGCUUGGACUCAGGGUUGGGUCAAGUGUUUUCCAGAAAACUAAUGGUUCUGAUCUCAGAAAAGAAAUGGAUCCUGAGUAGCAACAGAUGACCACUAUAUAUAUAUAUAUUUUUUGCUAUACAGAUAUUUUGAAACAGUUCAUUAUCUAAUUGGCCCUACCUUAUUGCCUGGAUAAGAAGGACUAAGAGAAUAACAGAAUGUGGCCCAAGAAAGACUCACUGACCCAGUAAGUAAAGAAAUAUUUUUCUCUCUGUUUUCCUAUUUCAAAAUUCCCUUUUCUGCUCUCAAUUC